rnacentral:rRNA from 1 species
GGGGUAGAGUUAGCUUGCUAACUUGAGACCGGCGCACGGGUGCGUAACGCGUAUGCAAUCUACCUUUUGCAGAGGGAUAGCCCAGAGAAAUUUGGAUUAAUACCUCAUAGUAUAUAUGAAUGGCAUCAUUUAUAUAUUAAAGUCACAAUGGCAAAAGAUGAGCAUGCGUCCCAUUAGCUAGAUGGUAAGGUAACGGCUUACCAUGGCUACGAUGGGUAGGGGUCCUGAGAGGGAGAUCCCCCACACUGGUACUGAGACACGGACCAGACUCCUACGGGAGGCAGCAGUGAGGAAUAUUGGACAAUGGGCGCAAGCCUGAUCCAGCCAUGCCGCGUGCAGGAUGACGGUCCUAUGGAUUGUAAACUGCUUUUGUACGGGAAGAAACCCUCCUACGUGUAGGAGCUUGACGGUACCGUAAGAAUAAGGAUCGGCUAACUCCGUGCCAGCAGCCGCGGUAAUACGGAGGAUCCAAGCGUUAUCCGGAAUCAUUGGGUUUAAAGGGUCCGUAGGCGGUUUAGUAAGUCAGUGGUGAAAGCCCAUCGCUCAACGGUGGAACGGCCAUUGAUACUGCUAGACUUGAAUUAUUAGGAAGUAACUAGAAUAUGUAGUGUAGCGGUGAAAUGCUUAGAGAUUACAUGGAAUACCAAUUGCGAAGGCAGGUUACUACUAAUGGAUUGACGCUGAUGGACGAAAGCGUGGGUAGCGAACAGGAUUAGAUACCCUGGUAGUCCACGCCGUAAACGAUGGAUACUAGCUGUUGGGCGCAAGUUCAGUGGCUAAGCGAAAGUGAUAAGUAUCCCACCUGGGGAGUACG